rnacentral:rRNA from 1 species
AUUGAACGCUGGCGGCAUGCCUUACACAUGCAAGUCGAGCGGCAGCGCGGGGCAACCCUGGCGGCGAGCGGCGGACGGGUGAGCAAUACAUAGGAAUCUGCCUCAGAGCGGGGGAGUAGCCAGGGGAAACCCUGAUUAAUACCGCAUGAUGUCGAGAGACCAAAGUGGGGGACCGUAAGGCCUCACACUCUGAGAUGAGCCUAUGUCGGAUUAGCUAGUUGGCGGGGUAACGGCCCACCAAGGCGACGAUCCGUAGCUGGUCUGAGAGGACGAUCAGCCACACCGGGAACUGAGACACGGUCCGGACUCCUACGGGAGGCACAUGGGGAAUNUGGACAAUGGGCGAAAGCCUGAUCCAGCGACGCCGCGUGGGUGAAGAAGGCCUCGGGUUGUAAAGCCUUUAAGCCGGGACGAAAAAUGCUGCACCUAACACGUGCGGCCUUGACGGUACCGGAAGAAUAAGCACCGGCUAACUCUGUGCCAGCAGCCGCGGUAAUACAGAGGGUGCAAGCGUUAAUCGGAUUUACUGGGCGUAAAGCGUGUGUAGGUGGCUUCCUAAGUCGGUUGUGAAAUCCCUGGGCUCAACCUGGGAAUUGCAGUCGAUACUGGGAAGCUCGAGUUCGGUAGAGGACGGCGGAAUUCCCGGUGUAGC